UUUCUCCGCCAUGCAAAAGUAGUAUAUAUUAGACUCAUGCAUAUGUUGUAGGCUUAGAGGUCCAGUAGGCUUUAAGUUUUAUUUUUUAAUUUGAUUUAAGAUUAAUGUAGAGCUAUUCAGACGUGUUCAAGCUUUGAAUAUUGGUUAUACAAAAUAAAUAGCAGCACAGAGGUUCAGUGAAAAGCUGGGUUGUAAAUUCAGAGGAUAUGGAGCUCAAAUUGUCACGAGUAAUUAUGCACGGGUGAGUAAAGGGUAAAAGUGGAACAAAACGUGUACGGCAGAACUGAUGCAAAACUGAUAGAGUGCACUCCUUGUUAUAAAAGUUUAAUAAUAAUGUCUAUGGUGCUAUAAAAAAAAGUCAAUAAUUGACGGCUUACUGUACGUUUGUUUGGUGCUAGCCUACUACACUCGACGAGCUCAAAUUCUGUUUUCUCAAUCUUCACUGCAAUGGUAGGUCAACCCACGUCCGUCCGCCGCUUCCUCAUCAUAAAUUAACAAGAAUAAUAUACUCCACUCUCUCUCUCUCUCUUCAAAAUCCCCAAUUUUUGCAUUUAGGGUUUCACAAAUCGUCAUCUUUGUAAUCAGCGACCUACAUAAUCAAGCAUUGCGAAGAGCUUAAUUGCAGUUGUAAGGAGAAUUACGAAGCGGGAUUUGCGAUGCCGCGAAGAUGAGAGGAGGGGAGAUUGCAUUUCAUUGAUGAUUUGCCAGAGGAAGACCAUGAUGAUGAGGAUUACGGCGGUGGCAGUGGAAAGAGGAAUGCAAAGAAGAGGUCGGGGUCUCAUUUUUUUGAACUUGAAGCUGAAGUUGAUAGUGAGGAAGAAGAAGAUGGUGGUGUUCAUAAAAACGGCUGUAGGAAGCAUGACAGUUGAAGUGCCAGAGGACAAGCUAAGGAAGUAUAUGAGUUGAUUCGAGUACCAAGAUUGGUUAAAAAGAUGACAGUGGAAUUAUUGGUUUCAGUCAUCUGAUGUCAACUAUAUCUGAUGUGAAAAGCUUCACCAAUGAUAUGGUUUCGCUGACAUUAGUAGCAGUACAUGAUAUGGCAAUCGCAAGAGCUGGACUAUAAUGAACAUGUGAAUUAUAUGAUUUAGAGAGCAAGGAGGUGAUUUGAGCAGUCCGCAUUUUAAGCUUGCCUCUUGAUUUAGCAUCGGUUACAGCUACGGAUUGCUGCAGAAACGUUGCUGCAGAUUAGUUUCUUUGUCUCCACCCUGUUGUAGAAGCUGUUUAAUAGCAAUACUCUGUUGGUUAUUGUGCUCAUUAUUUUGCUGUAAGUUGCACCCAACUGGAAGUUCUUUUUCCUAGAAGUAUUUUUUUUUAAAUUUAGUAUUAAGGCAACAAAACAGAACACUCAAAAACUUCAGAAGUAACUUUUUCUUGAGUGAGUGAUUGUAGCUUGUUUUUCUGAUCGUUAGUUGUUUUCCUUUGCAUCCUUUAGAUCCUAUAGAUCCUUUAGCUUAUCAAUUGAUUUUUGUUUAGAUUCUUCAAACUUGUCCUUUUUUUCCAGUCUGCCAUAACUCAAAAAAAAUUGUUUUUGGGAAAUUCUUGAAUAGUGCAUGCAUGAGAAGUAGCUAAAAACUGAAUCAGUUACCAUUAGUAGCUUUCCUUGCUUUCCUCUUUUGAUAAGCUUCUCUCUGUUUAGCUUGACAAGCUUCUUUUUCUUCCACUGAUAAGGAAGCAUAUUUUUCUCUUGAUCUUCGGUUGCGAAUAAUGUUCUUAUUCGUUGAAUGUGCAAGUGGAUCGGUUGAAGCCAUGGUUUACAGUUUAUAGCAUGAAUAAAGGAAGCAAAAGCUAGCGGAUGAGUUGAAAAUACAUGCAGUUGUAGAUAUACAAGCAUCACCGAUAGAACAGGGAGAAGAGAUGGCUCAAUUUUCUAGUCUACAACAGCAAAAGUAAAAAGCUACUGUAAAAUGACUAUGUUAGACAUCAGCUGAAAAUAUAUAAUAGUCUAUUCAAUGACUAUUUUGAGGGAGGAAAAUGUAAUUAAACAAGACAAUGAGCUGGCUGAUAGAAAUAAACAUCAUAUCUCAUUAA